rnacentral:rRNA from 1 species
UACGUAGGGUGCAAGCGUUGUCCGGAUUUACUGGGCGUAAAGAGCGUGUAGGCGGCCAUGCAGGUCCGUUGUGAAAACUGGAGGCUUAACCUCCAGACGUCGACGGAAACCGCGUGGCUAGAGUCCGGAAGAGGAGAGUGGAAUUCCUGGUGUAGCGGUGAAAUGCGCAGAUAUCAGGAAGAACACCAAUGGCGAAGGCAGCUCUCUGGGACGGUACUGACGCUGAGACGCGAAAGCGUGGGGAGCGAACAGG